rnacentral:rRNA from 1 species
CCGCUGACUUUUAAGCAUAUCAAUAGCGGGAGGAAAAGAAACUAACAAGGAUUCCCCUAGUAACGGCGAGUGAAGCGGGAAGAGCUCAAAUUUAAAAUCUGGUUUGCUUUGCAAAUCCGAGUUGUAGUCUGAAGAAACGUUUUCCAUGAAAGCUGAGGCACAAGUCCUUUGGAACAGGGCAUCAUAGAGGGUGAGAAUCCCGUCCAUGGUCUCAAGCCUUUCAUUUUGUGAUACGUUUUCUAAGAGUCAGGUUGUUUGGGAAUGCAGCCUAAAAUGGGUGGUAAAUUUCAUCUAAAGCUAAAUAUUGGCGAGAGACCGAUAGCGAACAAGUACCGUGAGGGAAAGAUGAAAAGAACUUUGAAAAGAGAGUUAAAAAGUACGUGAAAUUGUUGAAAGGGAACCGUUUGAAGCCAGUCUUGCUUGCUUGUGAUCAAUCUUUGCUUCGGCUUGGAUGCACUCUCAGGUUAUGCAGGUCAACGUCAGUUUGAGAGGUGGGAAAAAAGCUUGAGGAAUGUGGCCUUCGGGUGUUAUAGCCUCUUGCUAAAUACCAUCUUUUGGACUGAGGCUCGCAGCAAAAAUGUGGGCAGGUUUGCGUUUGAGGUGAUACAUUAUUAAGACAGCUUGCUGACUUAGUUUUGUCUAUCUUCACUGUAAGCUUCGCUUCUAAUUUGCUUAGGUCGUUGACAUAAUGGCUUUAAAUGACCCGUCUUGAAACACGG